rnacentral:rRNA from 1 species
AUUGAACGCUGGCGGCAGGCCUAACACAUGCAAGUCGAACGAGUGGCGGACGGGUGAGUAAUGUCCGGGAAACUGCCUGAUGGAGGGGGAUAACUACUGGAAACGGUAGCUAAUACCGCAUACCAUCAGAUGUGCCCAGAUGGGAUUAGCUAGUUGGUGGGGUAACGGCUCACCAAGGCGACGAUCCCUAGCUGGUCUGAGAGGAUGACAAGCCAAACGGGAAUGGGGAAAGGUUCCAGACUCCUACGGAGGGCAGAAGGGGGAAAUAUUGAACAAUGGGCGAAACCUUGAUGCAGCCAGGCGGGGUGUAUGAAGAAGGCUUUGGGGUGGUAAAGUACUUUCAGCGGGGAGGCGUUACCCGCAGAAGAAGCACCGGCUAACUCCGUGCAAGCCGCCGCGGUAUUA